rnacentral:lncRNA from 1 species
GAAUCCUAACACUAGAACUCUUAUUUAUACUAAUAUAAAAUAACUUCUUAUAACAAUAUUCUCUUUAGAAAUUGACACGUAAUCGCUGCAUGUUUUUCGUCUUUGGAACUUCUCCCAUGUGUCCCUUUGGAUAAGACUAAAAAGAAGUUACUUGCUUUGAAAUUCUUUCUUCGCGCCACCUGUUGUUGUUUUUUUGUAUUUUGGGGUGUUUUAGUUUUAUUUUCCAUACUUUGAGAAUAAUAAUUGUAAUAUUAUAGAAU